GAUGAACGCUAGCGAUAGGCCUAACACAUGCAAGUCGAGGGGCAUCACAUGAAGUAGCAAUACGGAUGGUGGCGACCGGCGCACGGGUGAGUAACACGUAUGCAACCUGCCUUCAACAAGGGGAUAACCCGUUGAAAGACGGACUAAUACCCUAUAACACAGGGGUCCCGCAUGGGAAUAUUUGUUAAAGGACAACCGGUUGAAGAUGGGCAUGCGUUCCAUUAGCUAGUUGGCGGGGUAACGGCCCACCAAGGCAACGAUGGAUAGGGGAACUGAGAGGUUUAUCCCCCACACUGGUACUGAGACACGGACCAGACUCCUACGGGAGGCAGCAGUGAGGAAUAUUGGUCAAUGGACGCAAGUCUGAACCAGCCACGUCGCGUGAAGGAAGACGGCCCUACGGGUUGUAAACUUCUUUUAUACGGGAAUAAAGUGCCCCACGCGUGGGGUUUUGCAUGUACCGUAUGAAUAAGGAUCGGCUAACUCCGUGCCAGCAGCCGCGGUAAUUACUGACCU
rnacentral:rRNA from 1 species